UCAGCAAAAGAAGUAUAGUAUUUAUCGUUCAUUUACUCUCCCAAGCAUGUUGAAACAUGUAGUCAUAGUUAGAGUAUUUCACUUAUCGACUGGAAAAGAAAGCCCAGUUGACAUGUUCUGGCGUCGAACGAAAGGCCUUCUGGGUAGUGACUUGUGGGAGACAAUAGAUAGAUCUGAAAUGGUGUUUUUACAUGCUCUGAUUAGAAAUUAGAAAUGAACAAAUAAAUAGGAAUACGGGAAACUUAAUCUACAGUUUACGCGAUUUGUAAAAUUCUUUGCUCUACAAACAGAGUACUGAUACAGUGCAUGGAAAAAUACAUCCAAGAAAAAAUUGUUGUAUUGAUCUAUUACCAAAAUUGUGGAUGUUAGGGUACUUGGAAUGCAACUCUAAUUUCCAGUAUCCUGGCGGUAAAUACACACACUAAAAUAUUGUCGAAGUGUACUGCUCUUGUGGCGUUUCCAUUUUCAUGUUGAAUAAAAUAAUUUAAUGAUGUCA